GAUCUCAGCAGAAGCCCUACAUAGGGAGAAUUUAUCUCAAAGAGAUUUGUACAAGUGGAUUUUUCUGAUGAAGCAAACCUUUAAGAAAUUCAUGGAAGGACCACAAAGAUUUUAGAGAAUGAUCUCACCAGAGUACUGUCAACAUGGAUCUGCAAUGGCAAAAACAGGAUAAAUGAACAAGAGGCUUUGAAUUCUCAAACUUUUACAAGCAGAAACAGAGUGAGGAAAUCACUCAACUGCAAAAACAUGAUGCUAUUCAUUAAAAAAAAAAUGACUCAGAUAAUGGACCAAAAGUCUAUAAAACAAAACCAAGAGCUAUAAACUCAUUUGCAGGCAGAAGUAAGACUGGGUCCUAACAAGAAACUUACAUUUGAUGAAUUUCAGAAUUACUAUGAGCCAUUUAUGUGUGCCUUUGUUUCUUCAUUUUCUCAAAAAAGUAUCUACAUUGAUUAUCAUCUGCCUAUACCACCAUUGUACAUUGGGUAUGCAGGGGAUAGAUAAUUUGUUCCCUUACUUCUUUGGUCUAUAAGUUGAAAGGACCAUACUGAAAAAGCUGAGCUUAAGGAGCUAUGCCUGAGGACCUGGAUUUGAUUUCGAAGAUCAUCCACUCAAGGAAAAUUUAGCUGCGGUGUCACGUAUAGUCUUACAGAUAGACACACAUGAUAAGGAAUGGAAGCCUUCUGCCAAUAGCCAGCUGCUGGGUCCUUGGGCUUCCCUGAGCUCCAGAUAGCUGCCUGUGUCCCUACCUAACAGCACUUGGCUUCAGUGUCCUGUGUAAGCUCCUGCCA